CUUACAGAAUAAGGACCGGCUAAUUCCGUGCCAGCAGCCGCGGUAAUACGGAAGGUCCAAGCGUUAAUCGGAAUUACUGGGCGUAAAGCGCGCGUAGGUGGUUUAUUAAGUUGGGUGUGAAAGCCCCGGGCUCAACCUGGGAACUGCAUCCAAAACUGAUUCACUAGAGUACGAAAGAGAAAGUAGAAUUCACAGUGUAGCGGUGGAAUGCGUAGAUAUUGUGAAGAAUACCGAUAGCGAAGGCAGCUUUCUGGUUCUGUACUGACACUGAGGUGCGAAAGCGUGGGUAGCGAACAGGAUUAGAUACCCUGGUAGUCCACGCCGUAAACGAUGACAACUAGCUGUUGGGAAGCUAUGCUUUUCAGUGGCGCAGCUAACGUCUUAAGUUGUCCGCCUGGGGAGUACGGCCGCAAGGUUAAAACUCAAAGGAAUUGACG
rnacentral:rRNA from 1 species